CUGCUCGGCGGCGCCUGUGGCUCAGUUAGAGAGGCGCGAGGCAGAGAAGCCGAGGCAGGCAUCCCGGGGCGCGCGCGUGUGUCUGGCGGGAGGGGGGCGCGCGCUGUCCAGGGUCCUGCAGCCAAGGGAGGCUUGCUCCAAGUCCGAGGGAAGGCAAGGAGCUCCCCGCGCACCACCUUUCGGGCAGGCAGCCGAUCCCAAGUGCUGCCCAGUUUACUAUGGAAGAGGAGAAAUACCUACCCGAGCUGAUGGCCGAGAAAGAUAGCCUGGAUUCGUCCUUUGUUCACGCGAUGCGCCUUUUGGCAGAAGAAAUUGAAAAGUUUCAGAGUUCUGAUGAGAAGAAGGAAGAUGAAGAGAAAAAAUACCUUGAUGUCAUCAGCAACAAAAAUAUAAAGCUGUCAGAAAGGGUAUUGAUUCCCGUCAAACAGUAUCCGAAGUUUAAUUUUGUGGGCAAAUUACUUGGUCCAAGAGGAAAUUCCUUGAAAAGAUUACAAGAGGAAACAGGUGCAAAAAUGUCCAUCCUCGGCAAAGGUUCUAUGAGAGAUAAAGCCAAGGAAGAAGAACUAAGGAAGAGUGGGGAAGCAAAAUAUGCUCACUUGAGUGAUGAACUACACGUAUUAAUUGAAGUGUUUGCCCCACCCGGGGAAGCUUAUUCACGGAUGAGUCACGCCUUAGAAGAAAUUAAAAAAUUCCUCGUUCCAGACUAUAAUGAUGAAAUCCGCCAAGAGCAAUUGAGAGAAUUAUCAUAUUUAAAUGGUUCAGAGGAUUCAACCCGUGGACGAGGCAUUCGAGGAAGAGGAAUCAGGGUUCCACCUGCAGCACCUUCAAGGGGACGUGGGAAUGCAAUUCCUCCUCCACCACCUGGACGAGGAGCUCAAGCACCAAGAGGAACUCCUGUGACACGUGGAGUACUCCCAGUCCCUCCUGUAGCUAGAGGUGUUCCAACCCCUCGAACAAGAGGAGCUCCAGCUGUGCCAGGUUACAGGCCACCCCCUCCCCCAGCGCAAGAACCUUAUGAAGAAUAUGGAUAUGAUGAUGGAUAUGGGGGUGAAUACGAUGAAUCAAGUUAUGAGGCUUAUGAUAACAGCUAUGCCACACAACCACAGAGUCUGCCUGAAUAUUAUGACUAUGGUCACGGAGCAAGUGAAGAUGCUUAUGACAGCUACGCGCAAGAAGAGUGGGCCCUAAGCCGUCCAAGCCUAAAGGCACCACCUCCCAGAUCAACCAGAGGGGGUUACAGGGAACACCCCUAUGGUAGAUAUUGAAGGUCCUCCUCAUCUGUGACCUCACCUUAAAGACAAUUAAUAACCCGUGGUCUCCGCAUAAACGGCAACAAGACAAGCUUCCAAAUACAAUGGACAGCAAACCAGGAUACAGUUACAAAAAGUUCAGGUAGAGCCUCAAAUUGGCAUGUCAGCAGCUUAUAUCAAGGUUGUGCCAGGAGAACUGAUUACUUCCAGAGUCUGACAGAUUUUGCAUACCAAUAUAACUUUUCACACAUGUGUUACUCCACAGGACCAUUACUGUUUCCAGCAACUUACAGCUGCAUUGAAAUGGAUUAUGUGUGUACUACAAAAAUCAGACAUGUAACCCAGUAUGGCAAGUGAAACAAGUGCAGCAAUUAGAAGCAAGACCCCUUCUUCAGCCCUUGUUUACACCACAGAUCACUGGUAGGGCUGGAAAUACCAUCCUGAUGCACCUUGAUCACCACCAUUUCUCGCUGCAGCUGGAAGCUGGUUCUUCUCUUGUCAAAAUUUGUCCAGUUACUUUGGGGGACAGAGAAAUAUUAAUGAUUGAUUGCCUUGAAGCUGGAGAAGCACAGACUUGUAAUAUAUCAUUAGAAGCCAAUGAUCAGAGCGACCAAAUGAAACUAUUCGGGAUGAAUAUAUUACUGCUGCAUGCUGUUAACAACAGCAGUUAGGAAUCAUUUGCGUCCAGGAUCUGCCGUGACACUCUUCAUGGAAAACAUAUUAUUUAUGGUACAGAGCCCUUCAUUAUAUGCACACUCAGAAACCCUUAAAUGGAUGAGGCAGCUAUUUGCAUCUGAUAGGAGCUAAGUGGGACAUUAAAUUAAUGCCAAACAUGUGUAGAGCUACAAUCAAAUGCUUUCAAGCUAUCUUCACUCUUCUUGAGCCAGCAAAUUACUAAAGUGGGAUGCACCAAUGCUGAAAACGUCUUAUGCACCACAGAAAAGGAUUGCUGUGCAAGGAGGAUAUUCAGGAACAAACUUUAAAUGGAUAGUAAUGGAAGGAGCUACCUGGUUUCUCAGCCAUUUCUGCAUUCAUUACUGGAUGUCAAGGCCAGCGACAACUAGAAAACCAAACAGAAAUGCAAUACCCAGCAAAUCAAAACAUUAUGUUUGAAAAGGUCAGGAUGAUAUUUACCUCCUUAGCAUUCCAAGGAGGGCUGGCUGGGAACAUUUUGUCAUUGUUCUGUCAAUCACAAAAAAGCAGGAGGAUGGGGAAGAGCAAAUGACAAAAACUGUAACAAAAUGGGGAAAGAAAUAUAACAAAUAAAGUUUUGGGAAAUACUCACGAA